UACGUAGGGGGCAAGCGUUAUCCGGAUUUACUGGGUGUAAAGGGAGCAUAGACGGCAUGGCAAGUCAGAUGUGAAAGCCCGGGGCUCAACCCCGGGACUGCAUUUGAAACUGUCAGGCUGGAGUGCAGGAGAGGUAAGCGGAAUUCCUAGUGUAGCGGUGAAAUGCGUAGAUAUUAGGAGGAACACCAGUGGCGAAGGCGGCUUACUGGACUGUAACUGACGUUGAGGCUCGAAAGCGUGGGGAGCAAACAGG
rnacentral:rRNA from 1 species